rnacentral:rRNA from 1 species
AUUGAACGCUGGCGGCAUGCCUUACACAUGCAAGUCGAACGGCAGCACGGGAGCAAUCCUGGUGGCGAGUGGCGAACGGGUGAGUAAUAUAUCGGAACGUGCCCAGUCGUGGGGGAUAACGCAGCGAAAGCGGGGCUAAUACCGCAUACGAUCUAAGGAUGAACGCGGGGGAUCGCAAGACCUCGCGCGAUUGGAGCGGCCGAUAUCAGAUUAGCUAGUUGGUGGGGUAAAGGCCCACCAAGGCGACGAUCUGUAGCUGGUCUGAGAGGACGACCAGCCACACUGGAACUGAGACACGGUCCAGACUCCUACGGGAGGCAGCAGUGGGGAAUUUUGGACAAUGGGCGCAAGCCUGAUCCAGCAAUGCCGCGUGCAGGAUGAAGGCCUUCGGGUUGUAAACUGCUUUUGUACGGAACGAAACGGCCCUUUCUAAUACGGGGGGCUAAUGACGGUACCGUAAGAAUAAGCACCGGCUAACUACGUGCCAGCCGCCGCCGUAAUAC